GACGAACGCUGGCGGCGUGCCUAAUACAUGCAAGUUGAGCGAUGAAGUGUGGUGCUUGCCCCAAUUUGAAGAGCAGCGGACGGGUGAGUAACGCGUGGGUAACCUGCCUUUGAGCGGGGGAUAACAUUUGGAAACGAAUGCUAAUACCGCAUAACAACUUUAAACAUAAGUUUUAAGUUUGAAAGAUGCAUUUGCUUCACUCAAAGAUGAUCCCCCGUUGUAUUAGCUAGUUGGGGAGGUAAAGGCCCACCAAGGCUAUGAUACAUAGCCGACCUGGAAGGGUGGUCGGCCCAAAUGGGACUGGGACCACGCCCAAAAUCCUUAGGGGAGCAGCAGUAGGGGAUCUUCGGCCAUGGACGGAAGUCUGGCCGAGCAACGGCGCGUGAGGGAAGGAAGUUUUCGGAUCGUAAAACUCUGUUGGUAGGGAAGAACGUUGGUGAGAGUGAAAAGCUCAUGAAGUGACGGUAACUACCCAGAAAGGGACGGCUAACUACGUG
rnacentral:rRNA from 1 species